rnacentral:lncRNA from 1 species
GAGAUCAAAAAAUAAUUCAAUCAUUUUAUUAUAUUAAAAAUAAAUUUAAUAAUUAUAAAAGAUCCAAAAUAAAAAUAAAAAAUAAAAAAAUAAGCUGUUGGCCAUCAAGCAUCAACAUCUGGAGAAGGAAAGCGAGUGGAGGAGUUCAGACCGACCUGCUGCUGCCUCAUUAGCUCCAUUAUCUACUCCAUCUAUGUCAUCUGCUCCAUCAUCUACCUCAUCAGCUAUCGAUUCUCAUCAGCUAUCGAUCCUCAUCAGCUUGCUGUCGAUCUUCAGCAGUCUAUCUCUGUAUCUCCACC